rnacentral:tRNA from 1 species
ACCUGGCUGGCUCAGUUGGUAGAGCACAUGAUUCUUGAUCUUGGGGUCAUGAGUUCAAGCCCCACUUUGGGUG